UGAUGGAACUCUGAAUUAUUUCAAACAGGAACUUUGUCUCCUCAAUUAACAUCUUUCAUUCUUUAUUCAGAUUGGACGACUGCAGUUUGUCAGAGAUCAGCUGUGAUUCUCUGGUCUCAGCUCUGAAGUCCAACCCCUCCCAUCUGGAACAUCUGGACCUGAAUUGGAGAACUCUGGAUUGUCAGAGAUCAGCUGUGAUUCUCUGGGCUCAGCUCUGAAGUCCAACCCCUCCCAUCUGGAACAUCUGGACCUGAGUGACAACAACCUGCAGGAUUCAGGAGUGAAACAUCUGCUAGAGCUUGUGGAGAGUCCAGACUGCAACCUGAAGACUCCGAGCUUGGGAACCGGACGGCGUUUGUGCUUAGAGGAUGAAGUGUGUCCUGAUGAUCCAGAGGUUGAAGCAGCAGCAGCUGGUGUGUAGAGACUCUGACUGGACCACGUUACUGGGAGGUGGACUGGGAACUAAUGUACAGUGUGUUAUCACUGUAUAGUUUAGUGUUGCAGCUCCACACUGUGAAUGAUGGAGAACUGCAGUUAAUGUUGACAUGAUACAUUGGGGAUUGAUGUCAGGUUGCAGAGUGUGCAGUAAGUUUCAGGAUGGUUCUGUCAGUGCAGGAUUAUAUUUCAGUUAAUGUUCUAUUUCCAGCUGUGGUCAAAGUUGUUGAGCUUCUCUACCUGCAACACAUUGAGCUGAUGGCAACAAAAUGUCUUGGAAACAUGUCAGCUGAAGCCUUUGUGCCCAGAGAGAGAUUAAUGAAGCAGAUUUUAAUGUUUUUUGAUAAAUCCAGUUUAGUCCUCAAAGGUCCAGCAGCAGCUCUGAUUGGACCAGAACCUGACCGCUGAUCCAUCAUGGCAGCAGCUGUUAAACUGGCUGUUCCACUGUCAGCCUGUGGCAGCUGCUGGGAUGUGAGCAGUUCGUCCACGUGACUCAUUCUGCCUCAUUUCACCAAAUACUCAACAUUUGGCCAUCUCCAGUUUGACUGAGUGGUUUUUUAAGAUGUGAAUAUUGAUUGAGUUUGUCAUGUGUAAAAUCUGGGCUCAAAGGUAGCGGAAGUUUUUGAGUUAAAGGUUCUUAUAGAAGGUGGCCAUGAUGAUUUUAUGUUGGUUUUUUUUGCUGACAAUCUGUUGAUGAAUGUCUGAAGAGACAUAUCUGGAGAAAUAAUGUAGAUGGAGUCCUGAAAUUUAAUAUUUUCUUUCAUAUAUACACGUGAUCCUCAAUGGUCCAACCCUGUUUUGAUAGAAUAAUACAAACCAGUGACAUGAUGGUGCAAAUUUGGUCCAAAAAUGUCCAUAUUUCUAUCUGUUCCAAUAUUCCACCAAACAUAAAAUCUUUGUUUUUCACCCUAAAAGGCUAAAUUAUUUUCCUCUGUGUCUGAGUCGAUUAGAGGAAUCUAAUAGAGUCAGACACAAUCACAGAGUCAAAAUCAAAGAAUAACUGUGUAUCUUACAAAUGGCUUCAUUUAUUUAUUUAUGUUUUGCUGUUUUCAACAACUACGGUAAAAGCAAUCUGUAUCAGUGGAGAACCUUGUCAGCUGAACUGCUAGCUCAGCUGACCCUGAUAGUCAUUACAGGGAUCUGGUUGUAGGUUCGUAAUUAGCUAGAAUGUAGGUUAAUUUCUCACUUGGGCUUGAAAAGACAAGAACAACAAUAUUCAGUGCCUUGGACUUCCCCUUUUCACCAGAUGAGACACCAGGAUACUCAUGAUGUUAUCAGCAUCCAGCUGAAGAUAAAGACAAUAAUAUAACUUGGUAUUCUUCCAAAAUUAUUGAAGUUCAGCAAAACAAGAACAAAAAGCCAUUACAUGAUGACAGUAAGUCGUUCACACGAACGUAGCGUAGACAACUCAGACUCAUGGUGACAUACAGGCAGGGGUGAAAGUAGUUUUAAAUUCUUGCCAGUACUAUUACAAAACCCUCAUCUCGCUCUAACUUCAUGCAUUUGAAAAUGGCAAAGUCAAAACGCAAACAAAUAAAAGCAUAUUCAUAUUUUAUUGUAGGCCAAUGGAAUAGGUAGGAAUUAAAAACACUUGAUAAUGUACAGUAAACUUUUUUGCUUGAAUUGAAACACUGAUAAACAUCCAGAAUACAAGGCUCUGAGAACAGACAUGAGGUCAUGAGCCAACACUCAGAAUGGAACUAAACAUCAAAACACAUCACCUAAAAGAUUUUCAACAGAGGUCUAAAGUAGUUAUAGUAGUAGUAGGUAGUUUCUGACUUUCUGUGGUAACCCUUCUUCAGUGUCCCUGUCUUUACACGCCACUCUAAAAAGUCAUAGAAUAGCACGUCGCUUCAAAAAACAUCAUGGUUUUGCAUGUUGCUCCAAAAAUGUCAUAGUUUAGCAUGUCGCUCCAAAAAAACGUCCGUUUAGCAUGUCACUUCAAAAAAUGUCACAGUUUAGCAUGUCACUCCAAAAAAAACGUCAGUUUAGCAGGUCACUUCAAAAAAUGUCAUACUUUAGCUUGUCGCUCCAAAAAAUGUCAUAGUUUAGCAUGUAACUCCAAAAACUGUCAUACUUUAGCAUGUCGCUCUAAAAAGUCAUAGUUUAGCAUGUUGUCCAAAAAACAUCAUAGUAUAGCAUGUCACCCAAAAAAGUCAUAAGCAUGUCGUCCAAAAAUCGUCAUAGUAUAGCAUGUCGUCCAACAAACGUCAUAGCAUAGCAUGCUGCUCAAAAAAGUCAAAACAUUGCGUUUCGCUCUUAAAAAAAGUCACAGUAUAGCAUGUCGUCCAAAAAACAUCACAGUAUAGCAUGUCGCUCAAAAAACGUCACAAUAAACUAAACUAUGACGUUGUGUUACAUUUUGGACGACAUGCUAAACUAUGACGUUUUUGUCAUAUUCUGGACAACAAACUAAACUGACAUUUUUGUCACAUUUUGGAUGACAGACUAAACUACAAUUGUUGCAGUAAUCUUCCUGGAGGUGUGUUUGUGCAUGCUACACCCGACGGAAGCCCGCUGCGCGUCACGCCAUGCAGUGCCUCAACAGGUGAGCAAAAUUUGUCAUAUUUUGCACGACCUACUAAACUAUGACGUUUUUGUCAUACUUUGGACGACAUACUAAACUAUGAUGUUUUUGUGACAUUUUGGACGACAUACUAAACUAUGACGUUUUUGUCAUACUUUGGACGACAUACUAAACUAUGCUGUUUUUGUCACAUUUUGGACGACAUACUAAACUAUGACAUUUUUGUGACAUUUUGGACCACAUACUAAAGUAUGACAUUUUUUGUCAGAUUUUGGACGACAUACUAAAGUAUGACAGUUUGGACAACAUACUAAACUAUGACGCUUUUGUGACAUUUUGGACGACAUACUAAACUAUGACGUUUUUGUGACAUUUUGGAUGACAUACUAGACUAUGACGUUUUUUGUCAGAUUUUGGACAACAUACUAAACUAUGACGUUUUUUGUCAGGUUUUGGACGACAAACUAUGACAUUUUUUGUCACCUUUUGGACGACAUACUAAACUAUGACGUUUUUGUGAUAUUUUGGUGGACGUACUAAACUAUGACAUUUUUUGUCAGAUUUUGGACGACAUACUAAACUAUGACAUUUUUUGUCAAAUUUUGGACGACAUACUAAAGUAUGAUGUUUUUUUGUCAGGUUUUGGAGGACAUACUAAACUAUGACAUUUUUUGUCAAAUUUUGGACGACAUACUAAAGUAUGACAUUUUUGUGACAGUUUGGACAACAUACUAAACUAUGACGUUUUUGUGACAUUUUGGACGACAUACUAAACUAUGACGUUUUUGUGACAUUUUGGACGACAUACUAAACUAUGACGUUUUUUGUCAAAUUUUGGACGACAUACUAAAGUAUGACAUUUUUGUGACAGUUUGGACAACAUACUAAACUAUGACGUUUUUGUGACAUUUUGGACAACAUACUAAACUAUGACGUUUUUGUGACAUUUUGGAUGACAUACUAAACUAUGACGUUUUUGUGACAUUUUGGAUGACAUACUAGACUAUGACGUUUUUUGUCAGAUUUUGGACAACAUACUAAACUAUGACGUUUUUUGUCAGGUUUUGGACGACAAACUAUGACAGUUUUUGUCACGUUUUGGACGACAUACUAAACUAUGACGUUUUUGUGACAUACUAAACUAUGACGUUUUUGUGACAUGCUAAACUAUGACAUUUUUUGUUAGAUUUUGGACGACAUACUAAACUAUGACAUUUUUUGUCAAAUUUUGGACGACAUACUAAACUAUGACGUUUUUGUGACAUUUUGGACGACAUACUAAACUAUGACGUUUUUGUGACAUUUUGGAUGACAUACUAAACUGACGUUUUUGUGACAUUUUGGACGACAUACUAAACUAUGACGUUUUUGUGACAUUUUGGACGACAUACUAAACUAUGCUGUUUUUGUCACAUUUUGGACGACAUACUAAACUAUGACAUUUUUGUGACAUUUUGGACCACAUACUAAAGUAUGACAUUUUUUGUCAGAUUUUGGACGACAUACUAAAGUAUGACAGUUUGGACAACAUACUAAACUAUGACGCUUUUGUGACAUUUUGGACGACAUACUAAACUAUGACGUUUUUGUGACAUUUUGGACAACAUACUAAACUAUGACGUUUUUGUGACAUUUUGGACGACAUACUAAACUAUGACGUUUUUGUGACAUUUUGGACGACAUACUAAACUAUGACGUUUUUGUGACAUACUAAACUAUGACGUUUUUGUGACAUGCUAAACUAUGACAUUUUUUGUCAGAUUUUGGACGACAUACUAAACUAUGACAUUUUUUUGUCAAAUUUUGGACGACAUACUAAAGUAUGACAUUUUUGUGACAGUUUGGACAACAUACUAAACUAUGACAUUUUUGUGACAUUUUGGACAACAUACUAAACUACGUUGUUUUUGUGACAUUUUGGACGACAUACUAAACUAUGACGUUUUUGUGACAUUUUGGACGACAUACUAAACUAUGACGUUUUUGUGACAUUUUGGAUGACAUACUAAACUAUGACGUUUUUGUGACAUUUUGUACGACAUACUAAACUAUGACGUUUUUGUGACAUUUUGGACGACAUACUAAACUAUGCUGUUUUUGUCACAUUUUGGACGACAUACUAAACUGACAUUUUUGUGACAUUUUGGACCACAUACUAAAGUAUGACAUUUUUUGUCAGAUUUUGGACGACAUACUAAAGUAUGACAUUUUUUGUCACGUUUUGGACGACAUACUAAACUAUGACGUUUUUGUGACAUACUAAACUAUGACGUUUUUGUGACAUGCUAAACUAUGACAUUUUUUGUCAGAUUUUGGACGACAUACUAAACUAUGACAUUUUUUGUCAAAUUUUGGACGACAUACUAAACUAUGACGUUUUUGUGACAUUUUGGACGACAUACUAAACUAUGACGUUUUUGUGACAUUUUGGAUGACAUACUAAACUGACGUUUUUGUGACAUUUUGGACGACAUACUAAACUAUGACGUUUUUGUGACAUUUUGGACGACAUACUAAACUAUGCUGUUUUUGUCACAUUUUGGACGACAUACUAAACUAUGACAUUUUUGUGACAUUUUGGACCACAUACUAAAGUAUGACAUUUUUUGUCAGAUUUUGGACGACAUACUAAAGUAUGACAGUUUGGACAACAUACUAAACUAUGACGCUUUUGUGACAUUUUGGACGACAUACUAGACUAUGACGUUUUUUGUCAGAUUUUGGACAACAUACUAAACUAUGACGUUUUUUGUCAGGUUUUGGACGACAAACUAAACUAUGACGUUUUUGUGACAUGCUAAACUAUGACAUUUUUGUGAUAUUUUGGUGGACGUACUAAACUGACGUUUUUGUCAUAUUUUGGAUGACAUACUAAACUAUGACGUUUUUGUGACAUUUUGGACCACAUACUAAAGUAUGAUGUUUUUUUGUCAGGUUUUGGAGGACAUACUAAACUAUGAUGUUUUUGUCAUAUUUUGGAUGACAUACUAAACUAUGACAUUUUUUGUCAGAUUUUGGACAACAUACUAAACUAUGACAUUUUUGUCAUAUUUUGGAUGACAUACUAAACUAUGACAUUUUUUGUCAGAUUUUGGACGACAUACUAAACUAUGACAUUUUUUGUCAAAUUUUGGACGACAUACUAAAGUAUGACGUUUUUGUGACAUUUUGGACCACAUACUAAACUAUGACGUUUUUGUGACGUUUUGGACCACAUACUAAAGUAUGAUGUUUUUUGUCAGGUUUUGGAGGACAUACUAAACUAUGAUGUUUUUCGUCAGGUUUUGGUAGACGUACUAAACUAUGACGUUUUUUGUCAGAUUUUGGACGACAUACUAAACUACGACAUUUUUUGUCACGUUUUGGACGACAUACUAAAGUAUGACGUUUUACUUAUAUUUUGGACGGCAAACUAAACUUUGACGUUUUUGUCAUAUUUUGGAUGACAUGCUAAACUAUGACGAUUUUGUGACAUUUUGGACGACAGACUAAACUAUGACAUUUUGUGACAUUUUGGACGACAUACUAAACUAUGACGUUUUUGUGACAUUUUGGACGACAUACUAAACUAUGACAUUUUUGUGAUCUUUUGGUAGACGUACUAAACUAUGAUGUUUUUGUCCUAUUUUGGACGACAUGCUAAACUGUAACUGUUGCAGCAAUCUUCCUGGAGGUAUUUCUGUGCGCGCUUCACCCGACGGUAGCCGACUGCAUAGCAAAUGUCUCCGCCGCUGGACCGCUGCGCGUCACUCCAUGCCGUGCCUCAACAGGUGAGCAAAAUUUGAGGGAAAUCAACAGCAGACGCCAGAAACCAAGGAGCAUAAACGCCGAACCAGUCAUUCUUGCUGACGAUUUCAGCAACAGCGACAAAGAAAGAAACCACUGAUUAUAAACGCAUGGGGAAAAAGGACUGAAACCAAAAGAGACCACCAGUAAGUUCAUGUGUCUCACUGGAUUAGUUAAAGUGUGCUUUCUGGCUGUGUUGCUGAAGACGCGCACUGUCUUCCUGUUUAAUAUUAUUUGCGUGGAUAAAAAUUCUUUUCAGGAGCAAUUUGUCUUAUUUUGCAUGCCUACUGUUUAUUUGGCUGAAAAUAUGUGCAUUAUUAGAUACAGAAUCCAUUAUUUACUUGAACCUUGGCAUUGGUUAGAUGAGUUUUGCUUCAUGAUAUUCAUUGGUAAAUGCAAAGAGCUUAACUGUUAAAACUGUUAAAAAAUGCCAAUAUAAAAUCUGUUAAAUGCUUUGAAAAUACAUAUUAAAUAUUUUGGGUAAAAAUGAGUAAAUUCUUUUAAAAUGUAGUACUCUGUUUAUUUAAAACCUGAUUGUGUAUUAUGGGUUUAAAAAUGAUUGUUUUUGUAAAAUAUUUGCUUUAGUUGGAAGCAUAUGUAUUUAUAUUUGUUCAUUUUUUGUGUUUAAAGGUUUUUCACCUGCUUCCACCUUUACUGCAUAAAUAAAAGAGUGAAAUCCUGUUGCACGUCCAAUUUUUCCUUGUCAAUUGUGGGAAGCCAUUGCAUUAAAAAUUUACUUGACGAUGUUUCAGUGAAAUUUUGUUCGACAUACUAAACUAUGACGUUUUAAUGAUG